rnacentral:rRNA from 1 species
CAGCACCUCAAGUGGUCAGGAUGAUUAUUGGGCCUAAAGCAUCCGUAGCCGGCGCUGUAAGUUUUCGGUUAAAUCUGUACGCUCAACGUACAGGCUGCCGGGAAUACUGCAGCGCUAGGGAGUGGGAGAGGUAGACGGUACUCGGUAGGAAGGGGUAAAAUCCUUUGAUCUAUUGAUGACCACCUGUGGCGAAGGCGGUCUACCAGAACACGUCCGACGGUGAGGGAUGAGAGCUGGGGGAGCAAACCGGAUUAGAGACCCGAGUAGUCC